rnacentral:rRNA from 1 species
GUGGGGAAUAUUGGACAAUGGGCGAAAGCCUGAUCCAGCCAUGCCGCGUGUGUGAAGAAGGUCUUCGGAUUGUAAAGCACUUUAAGUUGGGAGGAAGGGCAGUAAGUUAAUACCUUGCUGUUUUGACGUUACCGACAGAAUAAGCACCGGCUAACUUCGUGCCAGCAGCCGCGGUAAUACGAAGGGUGCAAGCGUUAAUCGGAAUUACUGGGCGUAAAGCGCGCGUAGGUGGUUUUGUACGUUGGAGGUGAAAUCCCCGGGCUCAACCUGGGAACUGCCUCCAAAACUGCAUGACUAGAGUACGGUAGAGGGUAGUGGAAUUUCCUGGGUAGCGGUGAAAUGCGUAGAUAUAGGAAGGAACACCAGUGGCGAAGGCGACUACCUGGACUGAUACUGACACUGAGGUGCGAAAGCGUGGGGAGCAAACAGGAUUAGAUACCCUUGUAGUCC